UAUCUGUAAGGACAGUGUUCUAUUUGCAGAGUGUCUAAGCCAGAGAUAAGACUGCUUUUUAGUGUACUACCCCUCUGUGUCACCCUGUAAUGAAUACCUGCUUUAUGGUCCAGGGCAAGGACACCUGGCACACACAGGCAGAACGCCUGCGCGGGGUAUGUCAAUGGUUUUUACCUUUCAGACUAGAGAACAAAGUACACAGGAGAGACACCUGUGACAUACAUUAUUUUGGAUACACAAUUCUGUGAAUAUUAUUGUCAACACCAAAGGGCCUAAAUCUAGCGAAACAACUACCUGGGUGGGUGAACAAACGUGGAGGAACUGGGCUCUGAGGAUUUAAUGGAUACUGUUUGCCAAAUGGAUUGUACCUGAAGUCGGAGAGAAGGUUGUCAACGGAACUACCAGCCAGGACUCCAUUUUGGAGAAAAGGUUGUCAACGGAACUACCAGCCAGGACUCCAUUUAGGAGAGAAGGUUGUCAACGGAACUACCAGCCAGGACUCCAUUUAGGAGAAAAGGUUGUCAACGGAACUACCAGCCAGGACUCCAUUUUGGAGAAACGGCAGCUGAUCACCAUGGAGCCCCCGGAGGACUCCCAGUGCCCGUUGAUGUUCUGGGAGAGAAUGAAGCAUUGCAGCAGUUCUUUGACGGAUGCCAGGAUAUGAGUGGGGUCCUGAGAGUGCGGUG
ensembl:lncRNA